rnacentral:lncRNA from 1 species
UUUUUUCUUUUAUGGACUCAUUUUAUUAAAUAACUAUUACUACCUGCUUUUUAUCCAGAUUUUUCUUUAUUUUAGGAGGAAAAAACUCAACAGAAAUUCUUUUUUUUUUUUCAUUACUUCUGUCACUGGGAGGGUUUCUCCCUUAAGAGUGUGAGGCAAUCAUUUUAGAGAUUGCUUGAAGUUUCAAGGAAAUUUUGCCAAGUAGGGUCUGAUGUCUUGCAACAUGACCUAAUUCUAAUUAUUUUUCUGCAUUUGGGACACAGCCUUGGAGGGUGGAGUUGAAUCCUGCAGUCAUGGGUGUGAGGCAUCCAUCACCUCUGCAACACAGGUGCAGGAGAGAGGAGUGUUUGCCAUGCAGGUUGCUGUGGUGGUGGUUUGCAAACCAUUCAGCUUCUAAAGGUCCUGCUCCAGGAUGUCUGUGUGCUUUCUCUUGUAGCUGCUCAUGUCUGGACUGCUGUGCUCAUGCUCCUGCCAGCUAUUGAUGCUCCUUUAAUUGUCCUUACUUACACUUAGUAAAGUGGGUGAGUGAAAUGGUUCUGGCUGUGAGAGCCAAGGUCUCACAAAUUUCCUGGCCAGCAACACUGGUUUUUACACAGCUGGUUUGUAUCCUCAGCUGGUCUGAGCUGCAGAGCUGAGGGAGGGGCUCAGCUUUGCUAUCUUUAACCAUUCACAAGUUUGCUGACCCAAAUACUUCUAUAUUAAGCAUGGAGAGAGGCACUUCUAGUGCCAUGUUAAGAGGAAUGAAUCACCUUUCAACAUACCAGCCUGGUGCUUGAUGCACAAUCAGCACUGAUGUUUAGCUGCUGAAUGAAUGAAGUUUUGUAGGAGGACUCUUGUAAAGAAGGCUGUGUCUGCAGAAGUGCACAGCAAAGUCAGCAUGCAGACCCUAUGCCCUGGCUUUAUUUGAAGCUUUUGUACUAUAGCAUUCAUGUUGCUAAGGAUGUGGAAACUGUGAAGUUCAGGGGAAGGAAGAGAAGCUUUACACUGCUUUACCAAGUGUGCCAUGCUGUACAGAGGGGCUGCACGCUGCCAGCAUCACUCCAGGAUGAAAAGCCUGGUACUGGGCCCUCCACAGAAUGUGGCAGCAGAGUAAAUAGUUGGGACACACCUGCUCACUCCUUUUGCAUCCUGGCUCCACUGAGGACGAGUAUGUCCUCUCAUCCCUCUGUUCCCUCCCAUAUCUGCCCCCUGUUUUUUUUUCCCCUGUUAAAUUUUAUUUAAUCCUUCCAACAUUGUCCCAGCUUUUGAGGAUCUGUGAUAGAAGGAAUGAAAAGAUAGCUUUUCCAGCUUUUUCAACCCAGGUGGAGAGCAGGGAAUGGGUAAUUAUCUGGGAGCCACUGCGUGAGUGCUGGGCAGGCAGCUGAGAAGCCUCUGUGCAUGCACAGACCAAGUCCUGCCUGAACUGUGUGGAAAAGGCAAGGAUGUGCAUUUGCAGCAGCAAUCUCUUGGGCUAGAUAUUUUGCUCCCUGGGCAUGUAGGUGGAUUUCUUCUGACAUGAUUAAAAUUUGAUCCAACAUCUUCAAGCCUAAUCCCUUUAACUGUUUGAAGCUGCUGCAUUUUGCUCUCCCUGAGUCUGUUCCACACUCUUUUGGAUAGAUGUAAGCUCACUGCAUUUCUGAACAAUAUUUCUGCUGCUUUGAUGUGUCAGAAAGCGGCUGUUAAAGCUGAUGAAGUGGCUGACCCAAAGUCACAGGGAGCCUGAGGCUAGGACCCAGUUUUUCUCCAGCUGUAUUGCUCUUCUGUUCCCCUUGUACAGGAUAGCAGAGGGCCCCGCAGACAUGAGGCUCCUUGUGUAGCUCCUAUACCAGCAGCACUGCAUCCUUGUCUUCAGUCUAGCCAAGUCACUGAGCCAGCCAUUGCUCCAUCUCCUCCAGGCUGCUCUUGGCUCUAUUCUUGGCUAUUUAGUGCCUCACCAAGGGUACAGAGACAGCAGUUGGCUACUGGGAGUAAAUUUUCAAAACAGAUGGAGGAAAAUAAAAGACAUAGUGGCUUUUCUUAGUCA